UUUCACUAGAGCAAAUGAGAUGAUUUCGAUCAAAUUUGCCAAAUGAGGUUCGAAAUGAGAUAAUUUCCCAUACAAAUUUCAAAUUUGAAAUGAGAUAAUUAUCAUCUCAUUUCAACGAAAUUAGCUAGGAAAUUAAGUCAAAUCGCCUGAACGCACAUAAAACUUCAUUGUGAAUAGGCCACAAUUGUGGCAUUUUACGAAACGUCAAUCUAAAAAAAAAAAUCAUAGCGGUAAAAUUAAAUUUAAAUUUGUGUAUUUCGCGUCGGUAAAUAAUAAAUAAAUAAAAAAAUAUUAUAAAGCAUAAUACUUUGAUUUCCAUCAUUAGUUUCUACCUCUAUUUCAUUCUAUGAAGCAAUUAAAUGUUAGAGAUCUUUGUUAAAAAAGCUGGACGUGACCGAGCAAUUAACUAGGAGUCGAGACUAUCCAAUAUCAUCCCAAGGAUGUAAAACGUGUAUAUUUGUUUUUCGCGAAAUUAAAACAGAAAUAUUUCAUUACGAAAAACUGAAAAAAUUGUUUGCCGACAACAGUCCUCAGCUGCAAGUACUGCGCCACGACAAACCACUGAAAGUGAUGAAGAUUCAUUCCCAUUUGUCAUAUGUACCGAGUAUAUUAUUUCAAAAUCAUUGAAGCACUUGGCGUGCAAAACAAUGUACAAAUCAACGAAGCUCCAAGCAGUUCAAGGGUUUUCUAUGCGUGUUAGAUCAACAUAUGAAACCAGGAGAAACCAUUGCUCUGUUUGGAUACUGACUACACCAAGAAUCGUGUAAAAAUAAAAUAAAAUCUUUUCUUUUAAUUAA